GCCUACGGGACGCAGCAGUAGGGAAUUUUCGUCAAUGGGCGCAAGCCUGAACGAGCAAUGCCGCGUGAACGAGGAAGGUCUUCGGAUCGUAAAGUUCUGUUGAAGGGGAAAAAGAGCGGAGAGAGGAAAUGCUUUCUGAUUGAUAUUACCCUUCGAGGAAGUCACGGCUAACUACGUGCCAGCAGCCGCGGUAAUACGUAGGUGGCGAGCGUUAUCCGGAAUGAUUGGGCGUAGAGGGUGCGUAGGCGGCCUGCUAAGUCUGGAGUGAAAGGUACCGGCUCAACCGGUACAGGCUCUGGAAACUG
rnacentral:rRNA from 1 species